rnacentral:rRNA from 1 species
CGAUGAAGCCUUUCGGGGUGGAUUAGUGGCGAACGGGUGAGUAACACGUGGGCAAUCUGCCCUUCACUCUGGGACAAGCCCUGGAAACGGGGUCUAAUACCGGAUAACACUCUGUCCCGCAUGGGACGGGGUUAAAAGCUCCGGCGGUGAAGGAUGAGCCCGCGGCCUAUCAGCUUGUUGGUGGGGUAAUGGCUCACCAAGGCGACGACGGGUAGCCGGCCUGAGAGGGCGACCGGCCACACUGGGACUGAGACACGGCCCAGACUCCUACGGGAGGCAGCAGUGGGGAAUAUUGCACAAUGGGCGAAAGCCUGAUGCAGCGACGCCGCGUGAGGGAUGACGGCCUUCGGGUUGUAAACCUCUUCAGCAGGAAGAAGCAAA